rnacentral:lncRNA from 12 species
GGGGGGGGGGGGGGGGGGGGGGGGGGGGGGGGGGGGGGGGGGGGGGGGGGGGGGGGGGGGGGGGGGGGGGGUGCAGCCCGGCCCGCCCGCCCCCCUGCCCUCCCCGCUGCCCUCCGUGCUCCCGUCCGCUCUGCUCGUGCCCAGCCCGAGGAGCAGCCCGGUGCCCAGCCCCGGCAGGAGCAGUUACGGAGCGUUAAACUCGAGCGCUCUGACGCACACGAGAGCCGUGCCAAGGGGAACAGGGACAACGGCUGCUGACGUGUUGGCAGCGAGCAGGAAGCCCGCUGUGGGCAGUUCAAGCUCCCAGGGGAUCUUGGGCACCACAGGUGCGCCUCAGGUCCGCGGCAGAGGGGCUGGGGAAGGUGAUCCAAAGGGAAAAGGCUCCCUGAAUGCUCCUUCUGGCUGGACAGCAAAAGGCAUUGAUCGGCAGACACCCGAACCAGAAAGGCUGGCAUCCUACAGACCUCCCUUCCCUGGGCUCCAGGAGGAAACUCUGGGCUCUGCUGCAACCGAUUUAGCUGAUAAUGCUGGGGAAAGCCUAAAUACUACUGAGAGUAAUGAGCCAGCUUUGCUUAAAACAGCUCUUCCCGCUGUUGGAGACGCCCACGUGUCCCAAAACCUUCCAGACUCUCGAGACGUCAACUUCGAGGCAGUGCAGAGCACCUCCCAGGACAGAGAGUACCAGGUUUUUCUCAUGGUGCUGGGUGCUGUGGUGCUUUGGGAGCUGUUGGCCGCUUUCCUGGAACGGACCAUGGAUGAGAGUGUCUACGAGUACCUGGACUUUGUGGACGCCACGGACAGCUAUCCUCAAAGAACGAAGCACCAUCUCUCUGGCACGUGCUCUGCUUCAAAUCCCUUGACUGGAGCAAAAGCCGGGAGCUCCUCUUUGGCUAUUGGUCGUGGGAAUUCCGAGAUUUUGCUCAGGUUUGUAUUUCACUGGCUGGAGGUGUGGCUGCUGCGAGCAGAACCCACGGGCUGGUUCUGGGCAGGGGCUGAUCCUCCAGACCCCUCCUAGGUGUCACUGUGCCCCUGCUCUCCAGCCAGUGGCACUUCCCAAAGUGUCCCUGAGCCGCCUGGCCGAGCUGGGGUGUCCCUGAGCCCUUGGACCUGUGCAUGGGGGACAUCAGUGUCACCUACAG